CCUUCAGGUACUAAAAAGCUGCUGGAGGUGACCCUGAAGCCUUCUCCAGGCUGAAUAAUCCAGAUUUUCUCAGCCUUUCCAUUCAUCUGUAUGUUGUAGUUUGGCAAGAAAGGCAGGAAGAGACAUCUCAGCAGAGAUUUUCCGUAGGAAUUAGUGUUUGAUGUCAUUGGGAGCACUUUUAUUUCCAUUUCUGAUGCAAUAGUAGGUUUUCAGCACCUACAGCGUUCCCCAUUUGGAGUUCAAGGAAAGCGGAUUUCUUUGAUCUGUAUUCUGAAGGACACACAAAGUUUGAAUAAAAGAAAAUCAGCGUGUUCCUGUGGCUGAGGACAUCAUGUGGGAAGUGCAAAGCAGUUUUGGCUGGUCUACAGUUCAUGAAAAAAAAAAAAAAAAAGCAACUUGCCAUUAGUGGGUCAUCUGAUGCUGUAACUGUGUGCUGGUGCCCAGCUUCCAGGGUUUCUGGUGUCCUUUCCAGUGGAGGGGUUGUUCAUGUCUGGUGCUGUGGGCCAAGAAAAGAAGGAACAAGCCUGAAAAACCCCAUAUCCUCUUGCAGGACCAGAUCCAUCUUUUGGAUGUGGUUCCUGUUGAGUACACCAGACAUUUCCCAAGUUGAGCUAAGCACAGAGCUUGACCUGCUGAUUUUGCAAGCCCCAGUUUAAGUUCCAUGUGUGCUUUUAUCCAGUUAAUCAAACAGCUGUUUCUCCAGUGAGAUAAAUGCCCUCCUCUGACGUGUCUCCAGGCGAUGUUUGGCUGCUUUAUCUUUGCUCCUGCUUCUCACAAACCCUCUCUGUCUGACCACUGGGUGUCAGUAAAAGACUGCAAAGUGGUUUUUGUAGUUAAAUAUACAUGAGUUCCUCUCAGGCUCUGUGGGUGUUCCUUACUUAA